GAUGAACGCUGGCGGCGUGCCUAAUACAUGCAAGUCGAGCGAACAGAUGAGGAGCUUGCUCCUCUGACGUUAGCGGCGGACGGGUGAGUAACACGUGGUUAACCUACCCAUAAGACUGGGAUAACUUCGGGAAACCGGAGCUAAUACCGGAUAAUAUAUUGAACCGCAUGGUUCAAUAGUGAAAGACGGUUUUGCUGUCACUUAUAGAUGGAUCCGCGCCGCAUUAGCUAGUUGGUAAGGUAACGGCUUACCAAGGCAACGAUGCGUAGCCGACCUGAGAGGGUGAUCGGCCACACUGGAACUGAGACACGGUCCAGACUCCUACGGGAGGCAGCAGUAGGGAAUCUUCCGCAAUGGGCGAAAGCCUGACGGAGCAACGCCGCGUGAGUGAUGAAGGUCUUCGGAUCGUAAAACUCUGUUAUUAGGGAAGAACAAAUGUGUAAGUAACUAUGCACGUCUUGACGGUACCUAAUCAGAAAGCCACGGCUAACUACGUG
rnacentral:rRNA from 1 species